rnacentral:rRNA from 1 species
GAUGAACGCUAGCGGCAGGCUUAACACAUGCAAGUCGAGGGGCAGCAUGGGGAGUAGCAAUACUCUCUGAUGGCGACCGGCGCAAGGGUGCGUAACGCGUGAGCAACUUGCCCUCAUCAGGGGAAUAAUCGCUGGAAACGGCGUCUAAUGCCCCAUGGUGAUGGUUCCAGGCAUCUGGUUCCAUCUAAAGAUCCGUCGGAUGAGGAUAGGCUCGCGUGACAUUAGCUUGACGGCGGGGUAACGGCCCACCGUGGCGACGAUGCGUAGGGGUUCUGAGAGGAAGGUCCCCCACACUGGUACUGAGACACGGACCAG